rnacentral:lncRNA from 1 species
GCAUUAGAAUAUAGGUAAUCCAGUACCAAAGCACAGUGAGUUGCUUGUAAGUCACUAUGAUGAUCUCAGAUUUGAGAGACACUUAUGUCCAUAUAUUUCAUGAGCUGCUCUUGACAGUAGAGCGUUUAGCAAGUGGGUCACUUGUUUAGUAAUGAUAUACUCCUACAUCUCAUCUGUAUGCCAUACCAGUGUCUGUACACUCCUUGGUUACGAGGACAACCAAUCUAUAUGGCACACAACGACCUACACUCGAUAAAUAUCAUCAUCCUAUCAAUGAUGUAUCAUUUGAUCGGGAGCAUGUUUAAGAACUAUUCAAUAAAUCCUUCCUUAUUGAUCAUAAUAUAGUUCUAGGGACUUCAUCACAACAUAAAAGUUUUAGUAACGAAGAUGUACACCUUGUGAUGAAAAAGUCAAAAUAAUUUUUAUUCGUUGAUCAAUAAUUCAUAUAUAAAAUCUAAUUAUUUACAAUAAACCAAUUGACUUUAGAAC